AACGAACGCUGGCGGCAUGCCUAACACAUGCAAGUCGAACGAGACCUUCGGGUCUAGUGGCGCACGGGUGCGUAACGCGUGGGAACCUGCCCUUAGGUUCGGAAUAACUCCCCGAAAGGGGUGCUAAUACCGGAUAAUGUCUUCGGACCAAAGAUUUAUCGCCUUUGGAUGGGCCGGCGUUGGAUUAGCUAGUUGGUAGGGUAAAAGCCUACCAAGGCGACGAUCCAUAGCUGGGAUGAGAGGAUGAUCAGCCACACUGAGACUGAGACACGGCCCAGACUCCUACGGGAGGCAGCAGUGGGGAAUAUUGGAAAAUGGGCGAAAGCAUGAUCCAGCAAUGCCGCGUGAGUGAUGAAGGCCUUAGGGUUGUAAAGCUCUUUUACCCGGGAUGAUAAUGACAGUACCGGGAGAAUAAGCUCCGGCUAACUCCGUG
rnacentral:rRNA from 1 species